rnacentral:tRNA from 2 species
GUCAGGAUAGCUCAGCCG